rnacentral:rRNA from 1 species
UAGAGGAAGUAAAAGUCGUAACAAGGUUUCCGUAGGUGAACCUGCGGAAGGAUCAUUAUUGAAAUAAACUGAUAGGUUGUUGCUGGUUCUCUAGGGAACAUGUGCACACUUGUCAUCUUUAUAUCUCCACCUGUGCAUCUUUUGUAGACCUGGAUAUCUCUCUGAGUGCUUGCACUUGGGUUUGAGGAUUGACUUUGUCUUUUCUUACAUUUCCAGGCCUAUGUAUCUUCAUAUACCCUAAUGUAUGUUAUAGAAUGUAAUAAAUGGGCCUUGUGCCUAUAAACCUAUACAACUUUCAGCAACGGAUCUCUUGGCUCUCGCAUCGAUGAAGAACGCAGCGAAAUGCGAUAAGUAAUGUGAAUUGCAGAAUUCAGUGAAUCAUCGAAUCUUUGAACACACCUUGUGCUCCUUGGUAUUCCGAGGAGCAUGCCUGUUUGAGUGUCAUUAAUAUAAUCAACCUCUCUUUUUGAGAGUGUUGGAUGUGGGGGUAUUUUUGCUGGCCUCUCUGAGGUCAGCUCCCCUGAAAUGUAUUAGUGGAAUAAUUGACUGUUCAUUGGUGUGAUAACUAUCUACGCUAUUGACAUCAACCCAUUCUGCUUCUAACAGUCCAUUGACUUGGACAAUUUUCAUUAACAUGACCUCAAAUCAGGUAGGACUACCCGCUGAACUUAAGCAUAUCAAUAA